rnacentral:rRNA from 1 species
CCUACGGGAGGCAGCAGUGAGGAAUAUUGGUCAAUGGGCGCGAGCCUGAACCAGCCAAGUAGCGUGAAGGAUGACUGCCCUACGGGUUGUAAACUUCUUUUAUAAAGGAAUAAAGUGAGGCACGUGUGCCUUUUUGUAUGUACUUUAUGAAUAAGGAUCGGCUAACUCCGUGCCAGCAGCCGCGGUAAUACGGAGGAUCCGAGCGUUAUCCGGAUUUAUUGGGUUUAAAGGGUGCGUAGGCGGCCUUUUAAGUCAGCGGUGAAAGUCUGUGGCUCAACCAUAGAAUUGCCGUUGAAACUGGGAGUCUUGAGUAUGUUUGAGGCAGGCGGAAUGCGUGGUGUAGCGGUGAAAUGCUUAGAUAUCACGCAGAACCCCGAUUGCGAAGGCAGUCUGCCAAGCCAUGACUGACGCUGAUGCACGAAAGCGUGGGGAUCAAACAGGAUUAGAUACCCGAGUAGUC